rnacentral:tRNA from 1 species
ACUAGUAUGGCGGAGGUAAACGCAUGAGAGCUAAGAUCUUAUUACGUAAGUUGUACUUACUAUUAGUA